GUGUGGCUUCAGAUGAUAAAGAAGUAAGAAUUUCCAGGGGCCAUCCAUGGAGGGCUGGAUGGUGUCCUCACUCUCCCAUCACACAGCUCUUCUGAUGAUGUUUUUGCUUGUCUUUCUGGAAGUUCGCUCUGAUCCAAAAUUACAUCUGCAAGGGGCAGCUGAAGUCCAUCAGUUCUGUGAAGUCUUCUGGGAGUUGCCUCAGCCUAGAGAUCUCUUCCUCCAUUUCUCCAAAUAUUUCAGUUAGCUCUAAAUGAACAAUUAGCAUCUCCUAAUUGUGCAACUAUUUAAUUUUGGUUUCCUCAACCAAGGAGUUAAUCCCUUUCUGAGGGCAGGUACUGUCAACUUCUUUUGAUUUUUCUACACUGCAUGUGGCCAUCCCAGAUAACUCACUAACAAUAAAUUCUUGAUGACAUGACUCUACAUGGUAAGACGGCACUACUCACUUGCCAAGAGCCAAACAGAUAUUUUGGAAUCAUUUCCCAGAUAGUGAUAAAAAAUGGGCACAGACCAUUUGUAAUCUUUCAUCCCAUCUUCCUUUUGACUAGUGUCAUCCCUGUAAACCAUGAGUGAUCAGGAUUACAUCUCUACAUUCAGCAGGAGUAGAAUAGAAUUUCCAUUUGCACACAAAACUGACUCACUGAGAGCAAUUUAGUGAUCUCAGUAGAUGGGCCUGCUGCAUGGAAAGGCAGCCAACAGAUGGGGAGUGUCCCUAUCUUAGCCAGAGGAGGGGAAAGUAUGGGAUUCAAUCUGUUUCUUUAAAAGCUGAAGGAUAAACUGAAGAUGAUGUUCAUAAAAACUGUAUUUCCAUUGUUAAGGAGAAAAAUAGAUAGGUAAGCUCAGCCCUCUUUUGAUAAAAGUUGAACAGAGAGGUGAAAAAGGGAAUCCAUUUGUUUAUGCACUUAUCCUAAAGAGAACAUUGAAAGUCAAGGGGGUAUGUCCAGUGGUUUGCAAAGUGGUGUCUCCAGGGGACAUUUACAGUCAAUGUCAUCUACAGAAAGUUGCUGUCUUUGCUAUAGUGAAGGGCAAAUCAUCUCCCAAUUGCGCUGCUUUUCAAGAUUCCAUGAGGAGCUCUACUCUUGAAAAUUUCUGAAUCAAAAUAGAAUCUUAAGGAGUCUAAUUCUAAAUACAAACUUCAUGUGUAAGAUUCUCGCCAUGGCUGUAUGGCAGGUUUUUAAAGAAAGUAUGAGAAUGGUGUAUUUUAUCCAAGUGCUUGUUGCUGUUUUGCUCACUGGUGUCCUAAGCACCUAGAAAAGUCCUUGGCAGUUUUUAGGUGCACAAUAAGUAUUUAAUUUUAUUAUUCCUAAAUUAUUGGUUCGAUGAUUGGGUGUAUACAAGUGCAUAUGUGGAUAUGUGCAUUUGAAUGGAGAGAAAGAAAAAGUACAUGCUUACUCUCUGUGCUAUAAUGUCUCAAAUAUUAAAUCAUGACAUAUGAUAAUAAUGGUCAUUUUUAAGUUACAAAGUUCUUUCACCAUUCAUUCAUUCAGUUGUUAUUUAUUGGGUGCCAAAUUAUGUACCAGGCAGUGUGGUGGGAUACCAGGGAUACAGACAUGCGCCUGCCUGUAUAUGUUUACAAAUCUAGGUGGAAAAAAUAGGUAAAUAAAUA
rnacentral:lncRNA from 10 species